GCCAGGCAUGUUGGCGCAUGCCUGUAAUCCCAGUGGCUCAGGAGGCUGAGGCAGGAGGAUCAUGAGUUCAAAAACAGCCUCAGAAAAAGCGAGGUGCUAAGCAACUAAGUGAGACCCUGUCUCUA
rnacentral:sRNA from 1 species